CUCCUGCAGACUGUCCAUCCACC
rnacentral:piRNA from 1 species